rfam:Candidatus Mycoplasma haemobos strain INIFAP01 NODE_3, whole genome shotgun sequence.
ACGUAAAUUAAUAAGAGCUAAAGGUGGAUUUCUUGGAAAUGGCAGGCUAUGAAGGACGUGCUAAUCUGCGAUAAGCUAGGAGUAAUCGAUAAGAGAUACUUAUUCCUAGAUCUCCGAAUGUAGAAAUAUGAUACUUCGAAAGAUUUAUCAUUCAACAGCCAAUUCAUAACUGUUGAAAGCGAACCUCGUGAAGUGAAACAUCUCAGUAGCGAGAGGAAAAGAAAGCGAAUGCGAUUCCCUCAGUAGUGGUGAGCGAAAGGGGAACAGGCCAAACCUGUUUUACAGGGGUUGUAGGACACUCUUUUCCCUCUAAAUUUAUAGGAGAAAUUUUUGGAAAAAAAUGGCAUAGAGGGCGAACCCCCCGUAUCCAAAAUGAAUUUAGAGUUUGAGUGUAUCCUGAGUAGGGCGGGACACGUGUAAUCCUGUCUGAAUCUGCCCAGACCAUUGGGUAAGCCUAAAUACUAGCCAUUUACCGAUAGUGAACCAGUACUGUGAAGGAAAGAUGAAAAGAACCCAGAGAUGGGAGUGAAAUAGACCAUGAAACCUUUAGCUUACGAAGAGUCAUAGCACAUUUAUGUGUAAUGGCGUGCGUUUUGAAGUAUGAGCCGGCGAGUUAUUGUUGCAUGCAAGGUUAAGUAAUCAAAAACGGAGCCGUAGCGAAAGCGAGUGUGAAUAGUGCGUUUAGUAUGUGGCAAUAGACCCGAAACAGGAUGAGCUACCCAUGAGCAGAUUGAAGGUAAGGUAAAACUUACUGGAGGAUCGAACCGACUGCCGUUGAAAUGUUAGCGGAUGACUUGUGGGUAGGGGUGAAAUUCCAAUCGAAUUCUGUGAUAGCUGGUUCUCGCCGAAAUAGUUUUAGGACUAGCGUUGGAUUAUUGAUGAUUUGGAGGUAAAGCACUGAAUUCCUGAUGGCGCCCUCUGGGUGUACUGAAUGAAAUUAAACUUUGAAUGCCAUCUUAUCUACUCCAGCAGUGAGACUACGGGGGAUAAGCUCCGUGGUCGUGAGGGAAAGAGCCCAGACCAACAAAUAAGGUCCCUAAAUUCAGCUAAGUGGAGAAGGAAGUCUUAAUUCAUAAACAACUAGUAUGUUGGCUUAGAAGCAGCCAUCAUUUAAAGAGUGCGUAAUAGCUCACUAGUCUAGUUUUUUGGCACCGAAGGUAUAACGGGGCUAAGCUGAAUACCGAAUUUUUGGACUAUUUUUAAUAGUGGUAGGCGAGUGUUGUAUUUACAUUGAAGGCUGAGCGUGAGCACAGUUGGAGUCUAUACAAGUAAGAAUGCCGGCGUGAGUAACGUAUGAAAGUUAAAAUCUUUCUAGCCGAUUGAUCAAGGUUUCCAGGGCAAGGGUCAUCCACCCUGGGUUAGUCGAACCUAAGAUGAGGCCGAAAGGCGUAGUCGAUGGACAGCGGGUUAAUAUUCCUGCACCAGUACAAUCAGUGAUGGGUUGACAGAAGAGGUUAAUAUGGGCGGAUUACUGGAUUUCCGUUUAAAUUUCAAGUGUUUUAAGUUGUUAAAUGCGCUUAAUUUUGCACAAGGAAUGAAUACGAGCGAACUCUUCGGAUAGUAGCGAAGCCAUAAAUAUCACAUUCUCAAGAAAAGACUCUAAACUUAUGAUUGUUCUGACCGUACCUAGAACGAACACACGUGAUCAGGGAGAAUAUCCUAAGGCUUUCGAGAUAACUACAGUUAAGGAACUCUGCAAAAUAGCCCCGUAACUUAGGGAGAAGGGGUGCCUAUUUUUUAGGUCACAGUAAAGAAUGAGGGGGGACUGUUUAACAAAAACAUAGCUUUAUGCAAAAUCGUAAGAUUACGUAUAUGAGGCGACACCUGCCCAGUGCCAGAAGGUCAAUGAAGGAUGUUAGCAUUGCGAAGCAUUUAACUUAAGCCCUGGUGAACGGCGGCCGUAACUAUAACGGUCCUAAGGUAGCGAAAUUCCUUGUCAGGUAAAUUCUGUCCCGCUUGAAUGGUGUAACCAUCUCUUAACUGUCUCGACUGUAGGCUCGGUGAAAUCCUGGUGAGAGUGAAGACACUCUCUUGCCGCUAUGGGACGGAAAGACCCUAUGAAGCUUUACUGUAGCUUGAUAUUGAAAAAGUUCUAUGGAUUUAGAGAAUAAGUGGGAGGCGUAGAUAACUAGACGCCAGUCUAGUUGGAGUCGACAGUGGAAUACCACUAUUCCUUUGAGUUUUUUCUUACAUUUGUCCUUUAUCAGGAUAGAUGAACAGUGUUAGGUAGGCAGUUUGACUGGGGCGGUCACCUCCUAAAAAGUAACGGAGGUGUGCAAUGGUGCCUUUAAUACGGUUGGAAAUCGUAUGUAAAGCAUAAUAGUAUAAGGGCGCUUGACUGUGAGACACACACGUCGAACAGGUAGGAAACUAGGCUAUAGUGAUCCGGUAGUACCGAAUGGAAGGGCUAUCGCUCAACGGAUAAAAGCUACUCUAGGGAUAACAGGCUAAUAAUGUCCAAGAGUUCAUAUCGACGACAUUGUUUGGUACCUCGAUGUCGACUCAUCUUAUCCUGGAGCUGAAGCAGGUUCCAAGGGUUCGGCUGUUCGCCGAUUAAAAAGAUACGUGAGUUGGGUUCAAACCGUCGUGAGACAGGUUGGUCCCUAUCUGUAGCGGCUGUAGGAAAACUGAGGGGAUUUGUUCUUAGUACGAGAGGACCGGAAUGAACAUACCUCUAGUGUUGCAGUUGUCGUGCCCUCGGCAUUGCUGCUUAGCUAUGUAUGGAAUAGAUAAACGCUGAAAGCAUCUAAGUGUGAAACUAACCCCAAAAAUAGUUUUCCCUUCCUUUAUGGAUUAAGGAUCCUAAUAGAUCAUUAGGUUGAUAGGAUGUCUGUGUAAGUGUAGUAAUACAUUAAGCUAAACAUUACUAAUAAUCCGAGAGAUUUACGUAU